UCUCUCAGUAGGCUGGAAUCUCACCUGAGUCAGGUUUGGCUUCUGCUGCUGUUGCCUCUUGCAUAUUUAUAAUUUUGCUGAGAACCGGAGCCGCCGCUCGUCCUUUAUUGGCUGUGAGGAGCUGAAAUAGUCCAAUGACGGCGGAGGGGCUGGUCGGCAGACUCUUCUCAUAGCAACCAGGAAAGCAUCCCGAGAUUAUCAUCAGCACUAUCAUUAUCUGAGCACUCGCAGAGGGAACCGACUUCAGGCCACUGAGAAAAGGUCUUCCCACAUAAGCUCAUGAAUGAAUCAUGUUCUUACUGUGGUGGGAAAGUGUGUCACUGUCACAGGACGUCUCGACAUUGUACACCUUGAUGUGUUUCUGGACAAAAGCCUUGGCGUAAAAUGUGUCUUCUCUUCAAGUAACACGCAGUACACAGAGGUAAGUCCGUCUUUUAUCAAAAACUUCUGCAGUUAUUAAAAUAAAUAUGUGCGUUUGAUAUUUUUCUUUAAUUAUUAUGAGUAAAACAUAGUCCAUGAGAAUUAAAAGAAAUUGCAAAACAAAACAAUAAUAGAGCAACUUCAACUGUGUUCACAGCUGCUAAAAUAAAGCAAAAAUAAGAAACAACUAGACCCAAGAAACAGCACAUAGCGAAGACAAGAUCCUCGCACACAGACAGGCCUGCACAGCCCACCACAAAUGUUUUUACGGUUAAACAAAGUGUAUUUUUAAGGCUGAAUUUAGUGUAGAAGUGUGCCUUAACUUCUCCAAUGCAUGUCAA